UCCGGUUGAUCCCGCCGGAAGCGACCGCUUUUGGAGUUCGAUUAAGCCAUGCGAGUCGAGAGCCUUUGGGGCUCGGCAUACUGCUCAGUAACACGUGGAUAACCUGCCCUAUUGUCUGGAAUAACCUCGGGAAACUGAGAACAAGGCCGGAUAGCCCACAAUGCCUGGAACGGUUUGUGGGUGAAGAUAGGAUGGGUCUGCGGCGUAUCAGGUCGUAGGGGGUGUAAUGGACCUCCUAGCCAUCGACGCGUACGGGUGUUGGGAGACAUAGCCCGGAGAUGGAUUCUGAGACACGAAUCCAGACCCUACGGGGUGCAGCAGGCGCGAAAACUUCACACUGCAGGAAACUGUGAUGAGGGAACUCCAAGUGCUAUCACUAUGUGGUAGCUUUUCUUAACUAUUAAUCGGUUUUGGAAUAAGGGCUGGGAAAGACCGGUGCCAGCCGCCGCGGUAAUACCGGCAGCUCAAGUGGUCGUCGCUUUUAUUGGGCCUAAAACGUCCGUAGCCUGUUUGGUAAAUCUGUGGGUAAAUCAACCAGCUUAACUGGUUGAAUUCUGCAGAGACUGCCAAACUAGGGACCGGGAGAGGUGUGGGGUACUCUAGGGGUAGGG
rnacentral:rRNA from 1 species